GACGGAAGGUGCAAGCGUUGCUCGGAUUCAUUGGGCGUAAAGGGUGUGUAGGUGGCGCCGUAAGUCGGGUGUGAAAUCCCCGGGCUCAACCCGGGAACUGCGUCCGAUACUGGUGGGCUUGAAUCCGGGAGAGGGAUGCGGAAUUCCAGGUGUAGCGGUGAAAUGCGUAGAUAUUCGGAAGAACACCAGUGGCGAAAGGCGGCUCACUGGUCCGGUACUGACGCUGAGGUGCGAAAGCGUGGGGAGCAAACAGG
rnacentral:rRNA from 1 species